rnacentral:rRNA from 1 species
GCCAGUAGCCAUAUCAUCCUGCAACUCACAACUGGUAACCCACUGAAGCUAAUCAGGUGUGAACCUGGCAGUACCUGAAUGGAAGACCUACUGGGAAAGCUAAGGUUGCUGCUGAAG